rnacentral:rRNA from 1 species
UACGUAGGGGGCAAGCGUUGUCCGGAUUUAUUGGGCGUAAAGAGCGUGUAGGCGGUUUGGUAGGUCCGCUGUGAAAACUCGAGGCUCAACCUCGAGACGCCGGUGGAAACCAUCAGACUAGAGUCCGGAAGAGGAGAGCGGAAUUCCUGGUGUAGCGGUGAAAUGCGCAGAUAUCAGGAGGAACACCGAUGGCGAAGGCAGGUCUCUGGGCCACUACGGACGCUGAGAAGCGAAAGCAUGGGGAGCGAACAGG